GACGAACGCUGGCGGCGUGCUUAACACAUGCAAGUCGAACGGAAAGGCCCUGCUUUUGUGGGGUGCUCGAGUGGCGAACGGGUGAGUAACACGUGAGUAACCUGCCCUUGACUUUGGGAUAACUUCAGGAAACUGGGGCUAAUACCGGAUAGGAGCUCCUGCUGCAUGGUGGGGGUUGGAAAGUUUCGGCGGUUGGGGAUGGACUCGCGGCUUAUCAGCUUGUUGGUGGGGUAGUGGCUUACCAAGGCUUUGACGGGUAGCCGGCCUGAGAGGGUGACCGGCCACAUGGGGACUGGGGAACGGCCCGGACUCAAACGGGAGGAAGCGGGGGGGAAUAUGCCAAAAUGGGCGGAGGCCGGAGGCAGAAACGCCGCGUGGGGAAUGACGGCCUUCGGGUUGUAAACCGUUUUCGCUGUGACGAAGCGUGAGUGACGGUAAUGGGUAAAGAAGCACCGGCUAACUACGUG
rnacentral:rRNA from 1 species